GAAGACAUGGUCACAGCAUCAGUUGGCUUGCAUAGGACAUGUAAUGUUCAAGAUACAAGCAAUUUAUAUGAGGGAUCUUCUACCUGGCACAAUGGAAGAAGACAAAGAACUAAAUUUCAAUUAGAAAUUAGUCUGUUGUUUCAGCUAGUCAUGUAAUCCCAUCCGUUUCCAGGAGCUGGUGAUAUUCUGACAGUGGGGAGACGUAAAAAAUAAUUGUGAAGAAAAUACUUGCUAUGGGUCCUUACGAAGAUUUGGGUCAGCAUCAGCACAGAGCCCUCUAAGGUGGCAAGCAGCUAGGGACGAUGGACAGCUGAAUCUGCUGACACCAAGUCCCAUACACUUGCCCUCCAGUCUCUUAAGGAUACUUACAGUUGUUCAAGUCUUCUGUUUCCUUGUAGCUCUAACCAUUAUCGAAGGGGGAUAUAUAUUUUGGGUGAUAUAUAUAUAAUACCGAAAGUUGGAUCUUCAAACAAAAAGAAUACGAAGCAGCAUUAAUCAACACCAGGCACAGCCAUUUGCCAAAUGUUUCACACACAAUACAUUACCCAUAUCAACUACCUUGAAUGUCAAGCAAAUACUAAUGUGUACUUCGGAAGUGCAGUAAUGGGGAAACAGAAGUUCACUUCAUUAUCAUGCUGAAUACCUGGUGAUUAAAACAGAUCAUAUUGAUGACUGCAAUUUCUAGGAUAUUAGCCAUAUUUUUAUGUUCCUCUCCACAGGAUGUGUAAAAACAGAUGUCAAUCUUCUCAGUUCAAUAGAAGUGGUAAACCUACGGGAACACCUGGAAGCAAACACAAAUAACUCCUAUAAGAGAAUAAAUAAACAAAAAGCAGCUGAACAUAGACUCCCAAUAGAAAUCACAAAAUAGGAAGAGAUACACACUAAGGUGGUCAUGUUUCAAGCAAUUCAUGAAAUUAGCCUACCUUGUUAUGAAGGAAUAUUUCUGAAGAUGUCCUCAAUGGUUAUAGUCAGUAAGUGUAAUGUCUCCCUGGCCAUCCCACAGCAAAACCAAUCACUGUAUUUAAAGGCAUCAUAAGGGAUC